rnacentral:rRNA from 1 species
UACGGAGGGUGCAAGCGUUGCUCGGAAUUAUUGGGCGUAAAGGGUAGGUAGGUGGUCUCAUUUGUCUGGGGUGAAAGCCUUGAGCUUAACUCAAGAAGUGCCCCAGAAACGGUGAGACUAGAGUCUUGGAGAGGGUCGUGGAAUUCCCGGUGUAGCGGUGAAAUGCGUAGAGAUCGGGAGGAACACCAGAGGCGAAAGCGGCUCACUGGACCACAACUGACGCUGAUGCGCGAAAGCUAGGGGAGCAAACAGG